CGAAUGCUGACAUAAGUAACGAUAAAGCGGGUGAAAAGCCCGCUCGCCGGAAGACCAAGGGUUCCUGUCCAACGUUAAUCGGGGCAGGGUGAGUCGACCCCUAAGGCGAGGCCGAAAGGCGUAGUCGAUGGGAAACAGGUUAAUAUUCCUGUACUUGGUGUUACUGCGAAGGGGGGACGGAGAAGGCUAUGUUGACCGGGCGACGGUUGUCCCGGUUUAAGCGUGUAGGCUGGUUUUCCAGGCAAAUCCGGAAAAUCAAGGCUGAGGCGUGAUGACGAGGCACUACGGUGCUGAAGCAACAAAUGCCCUGCUUCCAGGAAAAGCCUCUAAGCAUCAGGUAACAUCAAAUCGUACCCCAAACCGACACAGGUGGUCAGGUAGAGAAUACCAAGGCGCUUGAGAGAACUCGGGUGAAGGAACUAGGCAAAAUGGUGCCGUAACUUCGGGAGAAGGCACGCUGAUAUGUAGGUGAAGCGACUUGCUCGUGGAGCUGAAAUCAGUCGAAGAUACCAGCUGGCUGCAACUGUUUAUUAAAAACACAGCACUGUGCAAACACGAAAGUGGACGUAUACGGUGUGACGCCUGCCCGGUGCCGGAAGGUUAAUUGAUGGGGUCAGCGCAAGCGAAGCUCUUGAUCGAAGCCCCGGUAAACGGCGGCCGUAACUAUAACGGUCCUAAGGUAGCGAAAUUCCUUGUCGGGUAAGUUCCGACCUGCACGAAUGGCGUAAUGAUGGCCAGGCUGUCUCCACCCGAGACUCAGUGAAAUUGAACUCGCUGUGAAGAUGCAGUGUACCCGCGGCAAGACGGAAAGACCCCGUGAACCUUUACUAUAGCUUGACACUGAACAUUGAGCCUUGAUGUGUAGGAUAGGUGGGAGGCUUUGAAGUGUGGACGCCAGUCUGCAUGGAGCCGACCUUGAAAUACCACCCUUUAAUGUUUGAUGUUCUAACGUUGACCCGUAAUCCGGGUUGCGGACAGUGUCUGGUGGGUAGUUUGACUGGGGCGGUCUCCUCCUAAAGAGUAACGGAGGAGCACGAAGGUUGGCUAAUCCUGGUCGGACAUCAGGAGGUUAGUGCAAUGGCAUAAGCCAGCUUGACUGCGAGCGUGACGGCGCGAGCAGGUGCGAAAGCAGGUCAUAGUGAUCCGGUGGUUCUGAAUGGAAGGGCCAUCGCUCAACGGAUAAAAGGUACUCCGGGGAUAACAGGCUGAUACCGCCCAAGAGUUCAUAUCGACGGCGGUGUUUGGCACCUCGAUGUCGGCUCAUCACAUCCUGGGGCUGAAGUAGGUCCCAAGGGUAUGGCUGUUCGCCAUUUAAAGUGGUACGCGAGCUGGGUUUAGAACGUCGUGAGACAGUUCGGUCCCUAUCUGCCGUGGGCGCUGGAGAACUGAGGGGGGCUGCUCCUAGUACGAGAGGACCGGAGUGGACGCAUCACUGGUGUUCGGGUUGUCAUGCCAAUGGCACUGCCCGGUAGCUAAAUGCGGAAGAGAUAAGUGCUGAAAGCAUCUAAGCACGAAACUUGCC
rnacentral:rRNA from 1 species